rnacentral:tRNA from 1 species
AAGAAAGUGACGGACAGGCAACGUAGCUGUCUUGAAAGCAGCGCAUGGGGGUUCGAUUCCUCCCUUUCUCG